CCUGGAAGUUGCCACUUCCCGCCAUGUGUCCUGCUGCCCCAGGUGCCCAGCUGCUUUGUUAGGCCUCUACACCUAUAUGUCAAGAGACUCAACAAUGUCACUGCUUGUGUGCGAGGUGGCAGCAGUGGGUUGUUCACAGGCCUGGUUAGCUUACUGUGAAGACACAGCCACACAUGCACACACUGCCAGAGAGACACCCAUGUGCGUAGGCACAUGGAGGAAGACACACAAGGUCAGAGAGAAACAUACUCAUGCACGUAGGCACAGCGAGACCUACACUUCAAAUGAGAAUCAGAUGGCCACAAGUGGCAAGAUGUACGCACACAUGUAGAGAGAUGUUUGCGUACAUGGAUACACACAGAGGAAUAAACAAUACAUGUACAUAGAUACAUACAGAUACAGAGACAAACACACACAGGUGAUGGGGGAGUCACACACAGAGGCAGGGAGGUCCACACUUACACCCAGACACACUCAAACAGGCUGAGUGACAUAUGCCUGUACAGGCACACACAGCAAAGGAGACUCACACAGCUUCAGACAGUGACACACACAAACACAUGUGAAGCCAAAGGAACCAAGCCUGCCGCCUCUGGAUGGCCCCAAGCCGACAGUGAGGUUAGCUCCUGUGCUUGGAGAUUUCAGCUGCUCUCCCCAGCGAGCGAAGUGCUGAUGAAUCCUGUGUUUAUGCUGCCAGCAGUGUGAAAACUGCAGGGAGCAAAAGAAACAAAAAGACUGUAUCAUGUCAGGGAGGGAGUUUCUUUCAGCCACUUUCCACCAUGCGCUGAGGCCAAGAGCCUGCUCCAGGCUGAGAAAAAGGGUGUGGGGAAGGAUUCGUCUCUGUUAGGGAGAGUUUUUCACCAAAGUGGAUUACGUUCUCCCCUGCUGGCUGACUCGGACAGCCCUUGCUUUCAGACUGGAGACCCACCCAGCCCAGCCACAGUCACUCAUAGUCUGCUUCCCACCCUUGGCUGAGUUUUAAAAAAAUUCUUGAAGCAAAUAAACUGAAUUGAAAGAGAUUUUGUUUGAAUGUUGGUCUGCACAGGACAAAAAAUAGCCUGACGGAGCCAGCGGGCUGGCCUCUUCACAUCCAGCUCACAGAGGACAUAGAAAAAACACCUGGUUUUGCCUCAGGGGCAGUGCUUCUGUCUCCUGGAGUUCAUCCCAUGAUUUUUGGCACGGUGGGGUUGGCAAUACUAUCUACCCCAAUUUCAUAGCUACCUAUUGCGGCAGAAGAUGUGGGAAUCCUUGAAAAACUGCUGUUAUGCCCAAUAUGAGCUUUGGAAAGACCAAAAGAGACAGAAGAAAAAAAAGCAAAGGCUAUGCUGUGAGCAGGCUCCCCAUAUGUUACCUGGGCACAGCUACUGCCUACCAGGGCAUCCUUGCAGGCUGAGCUCUGGGAGCAGGCAAAGAGGUUUGGGUAAUAUUUCCAUAAUAACAACCCAAAUGAUUACCAUGUGCUACCAGGGAGUUCUACAGACUGGAAAUUGUACUGUGUGCUUUUGAAUGUCCUUUUGAAGGGAGCUGCCCUUGUCCCUAUCUGCAGGACACAUCUCAGCUGCCUUUUAUCCCUUGUCUUUCUUUCCCACACACAGAGUAGGCUCUUGGGGAUGUCACCACUGCAGCUUCAGAGAGGGAAGAGGGAAAUGCCCUCUCCUAGCGAUAGUUAGGUCUUAAUAGCUCAGUCCCAAUUAUGGAAGGAAAACAACACCAUCUGACCUUCCUGAACAGGCACCAUGGUAAUUACAGAGUACAUUGCUACUGACCCACAAAAACCGCGGGGUAACCCCCAGGAGUCACUUAGGCCCAGUCUGUCUCCUCUUUUGGCUGCACUAAUGACCCCUUCCAUGGCCACAAGAUGGUCUGUGCGGAGAAAGGGGGAGUAAACAAACCCUACUUUGCCAAUCAAGCAAGGUCUCCAUCCCACUUGCUUAGGCACUGUCUCCUCUUACUUAUCAGUCAUGUCUGUAGCCACAACUCUUUCAGAUCCCUCAGCUCCUGUCUCUCCUUUUCCAGUAGAUACGUUUCCAGAGCAUUCAGAAGAGGCCACCUCUUGCUUCUCCUAUCUGGUGUAACUGCAGUGGUCGGCUUGGCACUGAGAUUCCAGGAAGAAUACUCAGGACCAGCUUGUAUUCCACUUUUUAGCAGGGAUCCUGGUUUCUCUGUUAAAAAUCCCAAAUUCUCUGAUUAAAAACCUCCAAAUCCA